rnacentral:rRNA from 1 species
GACGAACGCUGGCGGCGUGCUUAACACAUGCAAGUCGAACGGAAAGGCCCUACUUUUGUGGGGUGCUCGAGUGGCGAACGGGUGAGUAACACGUGAGUAACCUGCCCUUGACUUUGGGAUAACUUCAGGAAACUGGGGCUAUUAUCGGAUAGGAGCUCCUGAUGCAUGGUGGGGGUUGGAAAGUUUCGGCGGUUGGGGAUGGACUCGAGGCUUAUCAGCUUGAUGGUGGGGUAGUGGCUUACCAAGGCUUUGACGGGUAGCCGGCCUGAGAGGGUGACCGGCCACAUGGGGACUAAGAUACGGACCAGACUCCUACGGGAGGCAGCAGUGGAGAAUAUGGCACAAUAGGCGGAAGCCUGAUGCAGCAACGCCGCGUGCGGGAUGACGGCCUUCGGGUUGUAAACCGCUUUCGCCUGUGACGAAGCGUGAGUGACGGUAAUGGGUAAAGAAGCACCGGCUAACUACGUG